CCUACGGGAGGCAGCAGUGAGGAAUAUUGGUCAAUGGCCGGAAGGCUGAACCAGCCAUGCCGCGUGAAGGUCAGUGCCCUAUGGGCGUUAAACUUCUUUUGUGCGGGAGCAAUAAUGGUCACGUGUGGCCCGACGAGAGUACCGUACGAAUAAGCCUCGGCUAAAUCCGUGCCAGCAGCCGCGGUAAUACGGGGGAUGCACGCGUUAGCCGGAUUUAUUGGGUUUAAAGGGUGCGUAGGCUGUGCGGUAAGUCAGCGGUGAAAUGCCCCCGCGCAACGGGGUGAAGUGCCAUUGAUACUGGCUUGCGGGAAUGCGGAUGCGGUAGGAGGAAUGUGUGGUGUAGCGGUGAAAUGCAUAGAUAUCACACAGAACACCGAUUGCGAAGGCAUCUCACGAAUCCGCGAUUGACGCUGAUGCACGAAAGCGUGGGUAUCAAACAGGAUUAGAUACCCCUGUAGUC
rnacentral:rRNA from 1 species